ensembl:lncRNA
GUGAGAUAUGUAUGAGGUGUGUAUGAAGAUUGUGUGUGUGCGUGACAGGAGAGUGCAUGUGGUGUGUGUGAGAUAUGUGUGAGGUGUGUAUGAAGAUUGUGUGUGUGCAUGACAGGAGAGUGCAUGUGGUGUGUGUGAGAUAUGUAUGAGGUGUGUAUGAAGAUUGUGUGUGUGCGUGACAGGAGAGUGCAUGUGUUGUGUGUGAGAUAUGUGUGAGGUGUGUAUGAAGACUGUGUGUGUGCGUGACAGGAGAGUGCAUGUGGUGUGUGUGAGAUAUGUGUGAGGUGUGUAUGAAGAGUGUGUGUGUGCUUGACAGGAGAGUGCAUGUGGUGUGUGUGAGAUAUGUAUGAGGUGUGUAUGAAGAUUGUGUGUGUGCGUGAC